rnacentral:rRNA from 1 species
UACAGAGGGGGCAAGCGUUGUUCGGAAUUACUGGGCGUAAAGGGCGCGUAGGCGGCAUGUUAAGUCGGCUGUGAAAGCCUGGGGCUCAACCCCAGAGGGUCGGCCGAUACUGGCAAGCUAGAGUACGGAAGAGGUAGCUGGAAUUCCCGGUGUAGCGGUGAAAUGCGUAGAUAUCAGGAGGAACACCGAUGGCGAAGGCAGGUCUCUGGGCCACUACUGACGCUGAGAAGCGAAAGCAUGGGGAGCGAACAGG